UAAUAUAAUAUGUGUAACAUGUCCAUUAUACCUCAGUUAAAAAAAAAAACGCAGGCAUCUGACCCUUUUGGGGGAAGCGGAUGACAGCUCCAGCCCUCUCCCCAGAAAUCUACAGCUGCCCACACAGUCCCCCCUCACUUGCCAAGCCUCACCGGGUGGAAAUUUAGCAAUCACCUGUCCACCCACCCUAUUUCCCACAGAAGAAAAGUUGGGUGGUGCUGGGGAGGGGCUAUGAGUCAAGGCUAAGGACUCUGAGCCAGGUUGGGUGGGGCUCCUCAGAAAUCCUUGGGCACGCCCUUCCCCCCUGCCCUCCGGGCACUCUCGGCCCUUCCCACAGACCUCCUCUCACCACCACGGAGUUCGACCUGGCCGCAGCCCUGGACUCCAAGAAGCCCCAGGGGACGGGCCAGGUGGGAGACCACAAACACAGCCCCUCCAAGGUGCAGGGCGCGUCAGAGGCGGGGGCCGCUGAUAAAAUGAGGGGCCGCGGUCACCGCAGCUCCUCGGACUCCAGCAGCAGCAGCUCCAGCGACUCCGACGUGGAAGCAAAGCCUCACGCUGCCGCCUCGGAAGGGCACAAAAGCGCGCCGGGCAAGGUGAAGAAGCCCAAGGUGAAAAAGGAGAAGAAAGGGAAGGCGAAGAAGGAGGCUCCUCGCUGACGGGCCCGGGCGAAUCUCAUUAAACCUUUGCUCGGCUCUCG